rnacentral:rRNA from 1 species
CCCUUAGAUGUUCUGGGCCGCACGCGCGCUACAAUGGUCUUCGCAAACGGAUGCAUUCUCGAAGGAGAAUGCCAAUCUUGGAAUCUAUGCCUUGGUCGGGACAGUUGCUUGCAAUCUUUCGACUCGAACCAGGAAUUCCUUGUAAUCGUGAUUCAUCACAUCACGAUGAAUACGUCCCUGCCCUUUGUACACACCGCCCGUCGCUCCUACCGAUCGAAGAGUUAGGUGAAUUGUUUUGAUCGAUAAGAUUUGACUAUGGUCAACUCUCGUUGUGAAAUUCUGUGAAUCUGACUGUUUAGAGGAAGGAAAAGUCGUAACA